UUCUAUUUUAACUCGUAAAUUUCAAAUAUUAUAAUAAUUACUUUUGAAUAUACUUGAUGAUUAAUUCUACAUUAAUUUCUAUCUGGAGAGAUAAUUUUAUCUAAUUGUAAGAUGAGCUAUGCGCUCACAUUAAAAGAGUUAAAAAAGUUGUUCGUUAUAAUCGCUAUGAAGAAUCGGUUCUAAAGUCGACGAUUUAAUCACAAUUUUAAAAGUUAAAGGAUAUUUAAUCGCGGUUUUAAGUCGACGCGGCUUAUAUGAUCCGCCGCUAAAUAGGGCUUAAGUUUCGCGUAAACCGAGCGUAAGUGGCACGAGUAGACUCAAGUUUUAUAGCGGUUACGCGUCGAAAUCACCUUCUCUCGUACGGGGGCAUACUCGCGUGCCUGUGUGCUGCAGAUUUUAUGGCCAAUAAAAACGAGUAUCACCCGUGAGAGAUCAACGUAAUUGACGACACCACAAGUUAUUGAGGAGGAAGCCUAGGAAAGGCAUCGGGCACCAACAAAGCUACUUUAAACUCAACGUAACUUACAGUAAACUAUGCUGUUGCACAUUAGUAGUGAGUGAUAAAUUAUUAUUUUAUUACGA